rnacentral:rRNA from 1 species
CAGCCGCCGCGGUAAAACGAAGGUCCCGAGCGUUGUUCGGAAUCACUGGGCGUAAAGGGAGCGUAGGCGGCGUGGUAAGUCAGAUGUGAAAUCCCGGGGCUCAACCCCGGAACUGCAUCCGAUACUGCCAUGCUAGAGGAUUGGAGAGGUAGCUGGAAUUCUUGGUGUAGCAGUGAAAUGCGUGGAGAUCAAGAGGAACACUCGUGGCGAAAGCGAGCUACUGGACAAUAACUGACGCUGAGGCUCGAAGGCCAGGGUAGCGAAAGGGAUUAGAGACCCCGGUAGUCCCUGUCUCUUAUAC